ensembl:lncRNA
UAAUUCUGUACAGUCAUUUUAAGUUUAUUUCAUGCACUGAACACCCAAGUCAAUUUCCUUUCAGUAUUUAUUUAAGGUAAUUAUCCUUAACAAAAAGGUUAAUUAGUUAUUUUCUUUUACAUUUCUCAUGUAUAUAAUAUGUACAUAUGGUAGUCUGCAUUUUUUGUUUGUGAUUAAGGAGUUAGCACAAUAGUCAUGGUGGUAGCCCUCCCCUUGGUUCCAUUUCUGGUUUGGUUUAAUUGCGCCUUUUACUGUGUACCAUGGAGAGAAGAUGUAACACAUUUAUAUCUGUCAGUAUCAACGGGCCCCCUUUUACACCACUAGGUUGGAUGUUCAUCACCCAUUACAAGCAUAACAUACAUCUAAUAUAUACAAAUGUAGAACAGACGAGAAUGCCUGUUGUGAUUGUUUCACCUGAGGUUGUGCCAAUGUAAAGAAUACAGAUAUUGAUUUGGUUUUUACUGAAACUCAAAGUAGACUAAUUCAUUCGUCUUUCAGACCUGUAUUCAUUCUGGACAAUUAAAAGAAAAAGUAAUCAUUUAUUUCUUCCAAUUGAACAUCAACUAUAGUCAUUGUAUUUGUGUCCAACAGGAACUCCUACAGAAAGACCACAAUCAAGAGGUUACUCAAGUUUUGCAUACCAAUAGCGUCAAGUUAUUGUCAAAAUGGGGGUCUUGAAUUAAGCUGCGGCACAAAUGGAGCCAAGAGCACUUUGAAACUGUUGACAUAAGUCAGUACUUUCACUUUGAUUUUGGAGACAAAGUCAGAGAAAGACAAUUACAAUUUCUGAUAUUAACAAAUGUAUUUUAAGGCAUUUUUAUAUACCAUGUACAAUGUAUAAAUCUUGACAUGCUAUUGUUGAAUGUAGGGUAUGACAUUACCAUGACUUUUUUUUUUCUCGAGUAAACAAAAAGAAGAACGGAAAAAAAUCAAAACAACAUACCUAUAGUUGACUUGCGUUUAUAGAAUGUGGAAUAAAUGAUGGUGUGGUUAUUCUAAAAACAAACCAAGCAACGACAUCAACAUAAAGAUAACCUAUUGAUAAUCCUGAUACAGGACUAGUAAUGUAUAAAAACAACUGAUAGUACAGUUCAGACAUUAAAUUCACAGUAUUCUUUCUCAAGAGGUGCUAGAAGAAACAAAACUGUAUUUUACGUGUAAAAUCAAACACCCAAAAAAGAAAACAAAAUCUCCACAUCCAUGAUAUAGUAAAAGAUUUUUUUUUGUUAUGCUUUUUUUUUGAAUGCUUGAAAUAGAGUAAAGAAAGUAGGAGAAAGAUGAGGGCAGGGAGAAGGGACAACAACAACAAUUCAAGAACACCUCCACGACAGACGAAAAUCCAAUACAAUGGAAACUUAGGCAGUUGGGGAAACCGGGGAAACCGAAAAAAGCUUUAAGGGAGAAAAACCAAACAAAGGGGAGGGAAUGGCCGUCAAGUGUGUCCAGGGUAACGUGUGGCGGCAUCCUUAAUUUGUCCCUCUCAGCACCCCCGAAAGUUUCCAUCCAUGAGUCUGUUGCCAUAGCGAUUAAAUUAAAUACAAAACAAUAAAAACUGGAAAUCCUUCUGGUGCCAGUAUCGAUAUGUAGAUAUGGUGACAUCUUUCAAAAAGAAACUUGCAUGCCACCUUGCAACGGUACAGCAGUUUAUCUCCAAGGCGACGCAUCAGUAUUUGCUAGCUUGUUCGUUUGUUCGCUUAUUUUCCCCCGUAUUGUGGUUGUUUGACUGAAGUAGAUGGAUGUUACCAUGGUUAUGCGUGUGUGUAAUCUAUAUAUAUAUAUAUAUAAAUAAUAUAUAUAUUUAUAUAUAUAUAUGUAUAUAUAUAUUCCUGAGUCUUCCACUGAGCAGCAGCUGAGAUGUGUAAGCGUCGGGGUAUUGGGUUCUUUUUGUCCUUUGUUUGCAUUUGUACAAGUAUAUAUUAAUCUUUUAAUUCCCGUCGUAGAUAUUUCUUUAGUGAAAGCGUGUGAACCAGAAGUGUACAGAAUUUGGGCAAAAUAAAUCGGCGGGUCAAAGUUCAGUGUCUUCCCAUUGAUUAAGCACCACGUCCAAAAAAAGUGUGUGGGGGGGGGGGAUUGAGUUUCAUUCCUUUGCUGUUGACAGUUUUCUUCUUUCUUUCACCCCAUCAUAGAAGUAUUGUACAGUAUUUCCCAGGUCUGAAAGAAAGAAGAGAGGAUUGAGAGAUUUCGCAGGGCGGCUGUUGAGCAGAAGAUCAACGGUAAACCCUUAGUGUCGGGGCCCAGCGGGGGGGGCUGCUUACUGGAGCAGUGGCAGCAGCAGGGCUGCGUUAGAGGGGUGUGGAGCUGCACAGGCUGCUGGAGGACGACUGGGAACCUCCGUUAACUCCGUUGCA